CCUACGGGAGGCUGCAGUGGGGAAUAUUGGGCAAUGGGCGCAAGCCUGACCCAGCAACGCCGCGUGAAGGAAGAAGGCUUUCGGGUUGUAAACUUCUUUUCUGAGGGACGAAGAAAGUGACGGUACAUCAGGAAUAAGCCACGGCUAACUACGGACCAGCAGCCGCGGUAAUACGUAGGUGGCAAGCGUUAUCCGGAUUUAUUGGUGUAAAGGGCGUGUAGGCGGGAAAGCAAGUCAGAUGUGAAAACUCAGGGCUCAACCCUGGGCCUGCAUUUGAAACUGUUUUUCUUGAGUGCUGGAGAGGCAAUCGGAAUUCCGUGUGUAGCGGUGAAAUGCGUAGAUAUACGGAGGAACACCAGUGGCGAAGGCGGCUCUCUGGUCUGUAACUGACGCUGAGGUUCGAAAGCGUGGGUAGCAAACAGGAUUAGAUACCCUGGUAGUC
rnacentral:rRNA from 1 species